GCUCGCCUCAGCGGCAUGCACACCAAAAAGCUGGAACCCCACAGAGCAGACUAGCAUGUCCCCUGUGCAAACAUAACAUGCAAAUUCAUGCACCAUUCCCUAAUUUU
ensembl:snRNA U6 U6 spliceosomal RNA